UACGUAGGGGGCUAGCGUUGUCCGGAAUCAUUGGGCGUAAAGAGCUCGUAGGCGGCUUGUCACGUCGGUUGUGAAAGCCCGGGGCUUAACCCCGGGUCUGCAGUCGAUACGGGCAGGCUAGAGUGUGGUAGGGGAGAUCGGAAUUCCUGGUGUAGCGGUGAAAUGCGCAGAUAUCAGGAGGAACACCGGUGGCGAAGGCGACUACCUGGCCUGUUCUUGACGCUGAGGCGCGAAAGCUAGGGGAGCAAACGGG
rnacentral:rRNA from 1 species